CCCGAAGUAGUCUGCGAUGGGGAAGUCCUGAGUUGCCAAGCAGUGAUUUGUGAGUAUAAAGAGCAAGGCCAUCGCAGCCACGGAACAGUCAUCCCUUGCACUCGUUCCUGCAACAUCUCAAUCAUGGUUUCUCGCGUCGUGUUGAUCGUGCUGGUGGUGGUCGUCCUAGCGGCCGCAGCAAUGGCUCUCCCUGACCCCACGAAACGGCACUUGGGAUACGGCUUGUACGGAGGAUACGGAGGAUACGGCCUCGGAGGAUUUGGCUUGGGAGGCUACGGAGGCUACGGAGGCUACGGCUAUGGAUCCCACUAUCCCUAUUACGGAUCCUACUACGGAUAGGUAUGAUGGCGCACAUAGUGAUCUCUGUACCUUUCUUCUACAAAAUCCAAAAUAUCUUUGUCUUUUAAUAAGAAAACAAAUCGUG